ensembl:lncRNA
GCUCUGUGUGUGGGGGGGCAAUGCCUUCAAUUGGAGUGUGAGCAGCUGCGAUGGAAGCGUGUGGAGGAGAGCCUGGUGCAGGGCUACUGCAGGGAACCGUGGCUCCUGCUUUGGGGUGGCUGGGAGGUGAGCUGGAGCCACUGCGUGCACAGACAGAGCCCCGGACAGUGAGAGAACACAUCUGUCCUUCGUGGCCACGUCCCACAUCUGCAAAGGAAAACCAGAAGCUCUCGACCUCCGCUGCUCUGAAGCUCUCAUUUCCCAGCGGGGCACAGAACCACACGUCCUCGUGCUGCAGAGGUUGGGGACAGCCUGUCCAAGCCUGGUGGCACCCACUGCCUGCAGGGACAGCCUGUGCCAACCAGAACACAAAGCGCUUUGCGCAGCGUGGCUGCAAAACAUUCCUCCCUCCCCCCCCUUCCCCAUACACGCACACACAUCAGAUGCGUCCUGAGGUUUGUGGAACUGGAAGUCAACGUGCCUCUUUCUUCUCUUAAUUGCUGUAAUUUGUCCGGCUCUCUCACAGCCAGGCUGAGCUCCGGGCUGCCUGCGUGAAUGCGUUUUGGUUACGGUGCUGUGUGGAUGGAGUGAUGCAGCAGAUGCGCUGCGUGUGCAUCCUGCACGUGGAUGGUUCUGCUCCUGGCAACCGUUCCCGUGCCCCCAGUGGGGCUCCUCGUUGGGAACAGAGCUAUGUGGGAUCACAGCCUGGGAAAUGUGUGCAGAAGGAGGGGGGGAGGUUGCCUCUUGCUGUUCUGGUGGUGGGCAGAGGGCCGUGCUGGUGCUAAUUAACGGAACGUUGAGGGUGGUGGGGGUAAUGAUGGAGCAUUGCAGCUGGGGCUGCUGCCUCCUUCCUGCCCUGCGUGCCGUGGGGGGCGCUCGUGGGCUGGCAGGUGUUGGAUGAGGCUCCUGGGAUAGGAUAGGGCUAUGGUGUCCCCCUGCCCCGAGCGCUGCCUCAUCCCAAUCGGCUCCCAGGAGGUGUCCCACGGCCGGGCUCUGCCUGCAGCCACCCCACAGCUCUGUGCACUGAGCCCCUUGAGGACAGCACUGCAGUGUCCCCAGGCGCCAGCAAUGCACGCCCUGCUGCGUCCCCGCUGCCCCCAUACCCACCCGGGUGGCCUUGUUUUGCUCAGCAGAGGCGGAUGGGAGCCACCGCCAUCCAAGCACUGAACGCUUUUAAUCUCCUGCUCCUGCUCCAUGCAAUUAACUUGAUUCCCUCCCCUCGUUUCCUGCAGAGGUUUAAUUAAAAUGCAUUGUUCGCCUCGCCAAUUAUUUGCUCUGUCCCCCGGAUAACCUCUGUGCAGUUGCUGGCUUGGUGGGUCUUUUUUUUCCCUUGUUGCUGGCAAGCUUGCUCCCUGCCCCAUGGCUCCCGCAGCAUUUACCUGCCCAUCCCUGGUGCUGGGGGGGGGGGGGGGGGUGAGCAAGGCGUGCACCGAGCAGCUGAAACAACAAGCCCUUGUUGACUUUGCUUUGAGUUCCCUGCACUUGGCAGCUGCUGUUCCAGCAGGUGAUAAUUGAAACCGGGAGCGACCUGCGUGGCAGCGGGGCUGGGGGUUGUGCUUGGAUGUCAGCUCCUGGUGGUGGAGCGGAG